UGAUUUGGAGGGUCUAGGCAUCAUUUAUCUUCCUUCCCUUGGGUCAUUUUGGUUUCAUUCAGCUUAGACAAUCGAAUGCCUCAUUAAUUGUUAAGAUUCCCAGGGAUAAGGGUGACAAGGCAUCCUCUGUUCAGUAUGUUUUAGAAUCAACACAAUCAUUUUUACUUCUUUUUUUCCUUGUACUCUCUCAAUCCCACCCCCACAUAAGUAAGUGGAGUCACCAAGUAAAUAUAUGGGAUAGGAAUUAUUUCCCUGUCAUCUUGAGUGUUUUAGGCUAUUUCCUUGUCUAAGUGGCUUCCAUACUCUAGGGAUGUGUGAGGCAAAAGUAAAUAAAACUGAAUGGCAGAGGUACAGGAAACCCCUAGGAGUCUCUUGUCUCACUGCCUGUAUUAAUCUGUGGGAAGAAAAAACACACACACACAGGUUGAACUCACACUUCCUCUUCUUAACCUGUAGUUUUCUUGGUCUAAAUAUUGCUUUUGAAAGAUCUGAGUUUUCUCAAGAGAUACCAGGGCUGGGGGCAG
rnacentral:lncRNA from 1 species